rnacentral:rRNA from 1 species
UUUCUCUCUCCGAGGUCUAUGGUGUUUUCAUACACUACUUUAGCAUGUCGCAGAAUGUAUUUGUAUGGCUUCUAUGCCCUAUAAAACUAUAUACAACUUUCAGCAACGGAUCUCUUUGGCUCUCGCAUCGAUGAAGAACGCAGCGAAAUGCGAUAAGUAAUGUGAAUUGCAGAAUUCAGUGAAUCAUCGAAUCUUUGAACGCACCUUGCGCUCCUUGGUAUUCCGAGGAGCAUGCCUGUUUGAGUGUCAUUAAAUUCUCAACCCAUUCAGUUUGUAAAUGACUGAUAUGUGGCUUGGACAUUGGGGGUUUUUGCCGGCCCUAGAGGUCAGCUCCCCUNAAAUGCAUUAGCAGAACGGUUUGCAAAUCCGUCACUGGUGUGAUAAUUAUCUACGCCAUUAGGAAUUGCUCUCAGUAUUUGUUCAGCUUCUAAUGGUCCUUAUGGGACAAUCAUUUGAAAGUUUGACCUCAAAUCAGGUAGGACUACCCGCUGAACUUAAGCAUAUCAAUAAGGGGAGAAAAAGAAACUAACAAGGAUUCCCCUAGUAACUGCGA